GACGAGGUGGUCGAGUGGUCAAGGCGAUGGACUGCUAAUCCAUUGUGCUCUGCACACGUGGGUGCAUUCACCCCUACAAAA
rnacentral:tRNA from 14 species